rnacentral:snRNA from 1 species
GUCUUUCCCUUCAAAGCCAGUCCAUAAAUGAUACAGAGAUUAGCAUGGCCCCUGUGCAAGGAUGACAUGCAAAUUUGUGAAGCAUUCCAUAUUUUU